CGGAAACUUGCCCCAUUUUUUAUGACGUCUUUACUGCGGUGGCCAGUGGAAGUGAAUUACUGUUGGACUCCUCCCUCACAAAAGUCAAUGCUACUGAACCAGAGAGAACAGCCAUGAAAAAAAUCCAGGAUUGCUACGUGGAGAACGGACUCGUAUCCACGGGCUUGGAUGCACUAGUCAUGAUAACCAUCAGCUCCAGCAAAGAUUGCAUCGUUGAAGCAGUUCAGAACACCGUAGAAGAUCUCAAGCUGAACACUUUGGGGAGAUGAAUCUUUGCCGCUGAUGCCCCUUCUGAGCCCCAUCCUCCUGCCUUGUUCUUUACACCUAAAGCUGGAAUCCAGACACCUGUCCUCACCUAAUUCACUCAUAAUCAGGCAGACUAGAAUAAAAAAAACUGCAUCUUA